GGCUCCUAGAGGCUAGAGGCUAGAGGAAUACUAGGCUAGGCAGUUGAAGGGAUAAGUUCAACAAUUUUCAAAUCGAACCCACCGUCUUCUUCAACCCCGAUGUGGUCAUGAAAACGGAUGGAAAUGUAAAAGCAUUCUCGUUUAAUCUCUUAUUAAACAUCUUUCACCAAACUAUCAUUCUGCGGUAACGACGAAUCUGAUCUGUUUAAGAAGGCUUUAACUGUUGUAAGAGUGCUUCCUUUAAGAUAGUGAAGGUUGCACUUCAUGGCAAGGAUAAAGCCUCAGGCUCUACUAAUUCAAAGUAAGAAGAAGAAGGGGCCAAGUCGUAUUAGUGCAACAACAAUAGUUCUUUGCACUUCCAUUGUUGCGUUAAUCAUAUUGCUUUUUACAACUUACAGGCAUUGGUCGAGAAGGUCAAGGGACCAAAUAGGGACCACACAAUCUGUUUUUGAGGACACUAAUGCUUUCAUAGAUUCAAAGAAGUACGACAUUCCUGGUUUUGUUAUUCUGGAUACAUCAAAAGGUCAAGUAGUGGUGGAACUUUUCAAGGAUGGCUCUCCCCAGAUUGUUGACAAGUUCAUUGAUUUGUGUCAAAAAGGGUAUUUUAAGGGGAUGCCUUUUAAUCAUGUGAUCAAGAAUUUUGUGAUUCAUGGAGGAAAUUCUGAAGGGCUUGGUGCUGCUGAAGAGUGGACAUCAAAAGGGAAGCUUCAUGAUCAGCUUGCUACAAGCCCAAAGCACGAGGCAUUUAUGCUUGGAACUUCAAAAACUAGCGACAGAAAAUUAUUUGAGCUAUACAUUACAACAGCACCGAUACCUGAUUUGAAUGAUAAGCUUUUAGUGUUUGGAAGGGUCAUCAAGGGAGAGGAUGUGGUGCAGGAAAUUGAGGAAGUUGAUACAGAUGAACACUAUCAACCCAAGUCUCCUAUGGGAAUCAUUGACGUAACACUGAAACGCGAGCUUUAAGGAUUUUCAGAGACGUCAAGCGGAAGAACUAAUGAGUCACUUCGCCAAACGAAUCUGCUCCAAUGACUCGGAUGGAGACUCGCACAUUGAAAUAGAUGAUCCACCACGAAUGGAAGAACAAUCAGAAGAAGGUCCAGUUCUGGCUUUCGUUGAGUACGCAAGAUCCGUUGCGUUUUCUCAAUACGAAGUAGAAGGAGAAGGAGGAUCUUAUGAUAGGGCCUGGUUGGAGUUGGAUCGUGUCUCGGAUCCUUAAGUCUUGUAUUGCUUAUUCGAGCGGUGUCAACUCCGCGAUUCUGCUUUCCGAUCUCGAUUAGGUAAUUUUGGCCUGGUUGGAGUUGGAACGUGUGAUCCUUGUCUUGUAUUGCUUAUUCGAGCGGUGUCAUGUCCGCGUUUCUGCUUUCCGAUCUCCCUUAGGUAAUUUUUGAACUGGUUGGAGUUGGAUCGUGUCUCGGAUCCUUAAGUCUUGUAUUGCCUAUUCGAGCGGUGUCACCUCCGCGAUUCUGCUUUCCGAUCUCGCUCAGGAAGUAUGCUUGCACUUGAUAGGCCAUGUAUUUCAACUUCUGCAGAGAGUGCUGUUGAAGCGAGUGCAACACUACUGCAGAGAGUGCUUUUGUGUCGUUACAUUUGGCUAUUGCUAUUUCCAAAUUGAGAUCAUAUUGAUGAAAACUGCUUUUUCCCUGAUGCCUUGGUAAGAAGCAGAUCCAGAGACUGGCCUCUUUUAGUAUUUUCAUUUGUAAUUACCAUUUUCAAUAUCUUACUUGACUUAUAUUAUCCCUUUUUUUCUUUCUGGAUACUGAAAUCCACUGUAAAAGUUACAUGUUAUAUGAACCUUUAUUCACCUUCAUGUAGACAUAUCUGGAUGCCCCUUUCUUAGAACCAAUCAUCUGAGACCCUUGAAACCUUACUGGGGGUCAUGUUAGCCCUCUUCUAGAUACAAUAGCUUGUAGUGUUAGCAUUCAAGAUUAUAUUUCUGUUGACAAUCUUUUCUAGUUGUUUUUUUGUCCUACGUGUGCUCAUAUCUUUUCUAGAUACCCGUACGCUUGAAACUGCUGUGAACCUCUAACUUAGUUCUCUAUACAAUGAGCCGUCUUCUACAUACCAUAGCUUGUAGCAUUGGCAUUUAAUAUUCUAUUUCGACUGACAACCUUAGAUGAUGAAAUUCAACUUUGGAAGUACAAGAUUGCCGAGCUCUAUUUUUUAUUCAUAAGUUAUAUAUAUGUUGUGUUACAUGUAAAUCAUUAUGACUGGCGGAAGUAGUUAUUUGGAUAUGGAUAUGCCUCACAGAUUUUUUUCACAAUAUAGUGUUAGCCUUGAAAAUCAAUUUACCAUUUUUGUCAAAUUUAUUUUGCUGAAAAUUUUUGUGGGUAUUACGUCCAGGGGUUGUUGAAGUCGUUCUUGUUAGCUUUAGCUGCUUAUGCUGUUGUCCAUUUCCAACUUCUUAUUUUCUAAUUGUCCCCAACCUCACUUGUUCAAAUUUUUGAGAAUGACUAGAUAGAUUCUUAGUAACUUUUCUCACUUGG